rnacentral:piRNA from 1 species
UAUUGGAUGGAUCACAGGA